UGAUGUUUUGAUAACCGUGUAAUACUCUCUCGGACAAGGUCUCUAUAGGUGACCAGGGGAUUCUCUCUACCACACGCGAACGCCUCUGUGGAGCUCAUAAGUGUAGCCAUACAGCCUAUAUUGCCGGUUUACAGUAUUUGCCGGACGGAUGUGGAAUACAACUGGAGGAAGCCAGCCGUGCCUAACCAGGUGCAGUCAGUGAAGGACCUGUACCCGGCUGAAGACUACAACCCUCUGUCCCGAGAGCCCACAGAGGAGGAUCUUCAGUUGCUAAGGAACCGUCUCCGGGGCAGGUUCAGUGGAAUGGCAUGUCUCCUUGAACCUGAGACAACCUUACCGGCACCAGGUCCAAGGUCAGCUCCACAUCACUGGAAGGGACACCUGCUUCUUCGUUGUGUGGACCACCAAAACCUCCAUCACCAUCCCCAUGCAGCUUGACGACCUCUGACAGACUCAUAUUGCUCCUCCUGUCAGUACCCGUUUUCAGGGAAGCCAAUGGUCCAAAAAUAUUCCACAUAGUUCAUACAGACACACUAGGCUCCCAGAAUAGGUUAUAUUAUAUACAAGUUUUGCUCAAAGCAGCCAACUAAAGUAAUGUAGUUAGCUUUAUCAUGGGCACAGUGGGAAUUUAUAUCUGUGAUGUUCAAAUUAUUUCUUACCCCGUGUCUUACUUGCUGAAGGCCCCAGACAUCUCUGCCUGUACCUGACAUUGUUGAAAAACAAGUGAACAAUUAAUAAAGAUCAUACACAAACAAUAGGCUCUUAGAAUAGGUUAUAUUAUAUACAGGUUUUGCUCAAAGCAGCCAACUAAAGUAAUGUAGUUAACAUAAGUUAAAUCACAAAGGCUUGUCUGAGUGCAUCUCCUCACAGUUUCAUUCAGUAGUACAACACAAUUCACAUAGCAUUUUAUCAUGGGCACAGUGGGAAUUUAUAUCUGUGAUGUUUAAAUGAUGUCUUACCCCCAGAGUGAGAGAGAGAGUACAUUACUUCCAGCAGAUCUCCUUGCUGAGGGUGGCAUUGAUCAUGCACUGCUUCUCGUGGGGCUCGAUGUGCUGUAGUCUCCACAACUGGACGCUCACGCUUGGAUCACACUGGAACAGGAUGUCCAUGCACCGGAUGGUCUGAGGAAUGCACUCUUGUUGGACUGGAAAACAAAGAGACAUUUGGUCAGUGGUGGGUCUUUUUCAAUGAUGUAUCAACAUCUUUAUCUGGACAGAAAACGCAUUGCUUAUCAUAACACAAACACACCUUGGACAAUGUGACAAGUGGUCCCUCAACACCCAUCAUCAUGCCUCAUAGUUUGUUCUUGUUUCCCAAUAAAAUCAAAUUUUAUUUGUCACAU